UAGAUACUUAAUAAAGAUUCUUAAUAGUAUUAUAUACUGUGUGAUAUCUGACUUCCAAUGGCACUGUUUAUGAUGAACAAGAGAUCAGAGAGUGAAAGCCACAUUCUUUAUCAUUUGAUACCAGCACGGACUUUUUAGCGAUACUUAUUUUGAGUUUUCAGCGCUUUGUUCCUUCAUGAACACUUUAUGGAGACAGACUUGUUAUGAGUGUUAUGAGACAAGAAGGUAUCAAGAUAGUAAGACACUCAACAUCCACGUGACAGUAGGACAGAAGUUGGUGGGGCCACCAGUUCUCACUGCUUUCCUAUGUACAGUCUCAACUUUAGUCUCAGUUUUCAGUGGUGUGCAAUUUUAAGAGCACUCAUUCUCAGUUUCUCACAUUUAAAAUUUUACAUUUGGAGAUUUGUGGUCUAAAUAGAGGAUUAAGUGGGGAGGGGUGGAAGGGAGAAUGAAGACACGACAGAGGUGUGGAACAAUGAUGGACAUAGAGGUAGAAAGGUUUGUUGAAGAGCUUGAGACCUAGCCUGCCCAGAGAGCCCCAUGUUUAAAUGCUGUAGGCCUUAGAAUCAGUUGAUCGAUCUAUCCUUAACCAGACCCAACCCCAACCCCAUGAUCAUUUCCAGCACCUAUUGCUCAGGACACCCCCUGCUCCCAUCUUCCUCUUCUGUCCUCGGAAUUUUGCUGGACAGGUUUCAUCAGGUAGACCCACCCUCCUGUCACUCACAGCUUUUGCUGCCACCAUCCUGCCCUAGGACACAUCAUGGGCAAUGCCUGAGUCCUGUGUUUGUUGGCUGUGACAUUUAAAAAUUCCAUCAUGAAGCACCCACACUUUGGUCUUCCUUCUUCUUGGGCUUCAUAUGGUCUGUAAAUUGUAUCUUGGGUGUUCCGAGCUUUUGGGCUAAUAUCAACUUAUCAGUGAGUGCAUUCAAUGCAUGUCCUUUUGUUGGGUUACCUCACUCGGGAUGAUAUUUUCUAGUUUGAUCCAUUUGCCUAAGAACUUCAUGAAUUCAUCAUUUUUAAUAGCAAAGCAGUACUCCGUUGUAUAAAUGUACCACAUUUUCUGUAUCCAUUCCUCUACUGAGGGACAUCUGGGUUUUUCCAGCUUCUGGCUAUUAUAAGGCUGCUAUGAACAUAGUAGAGCAUGUGUCCUUAUUACAUAGUGAAGUAUCUUCUGGGUAUAUGCCCAGGAGUGGAAUAGCUGGGUCCUCAGUUAGUACUAUGUCCAAUUUUCUAAGGAAUUGCCAAACUGAUUUCCAGAGUGGUUGUACCAGCUUGAAAUGCCACCAGCAAUGGAGUGUUCCUCUUUCUCCACAUCCUCGCCAGCAUCUGCUGUCCCCUGAGUUUUUGAUCUUAGCUAUUCUGAUUGGUGUGAGGUGGAAUCUCAGGGUUGUUUUGAUUUGCAUUUCCCUGAUGACUAAGGAUGUUGAACAUUUCUUUAGGUGCUUUUCAGCCAUUCGGUAUUCCUUAGUUGAGAAUUCUUUGUUUAGCUCUGUACCCCAUUUUUAAUAGGGUUAUUUGAUUCUCUGGAGUCUUAACUCCUUGAGUUCUUUGUAUAUUUUGGAUAUUAGCCUUCUGUCGAAGUAGGGUUGGUAAAGAUCUUUUCUCAAUCUGUUGGUUGCCCUUUUGUUCUAUUGACAGUGUCCUUUCCUUUGUCUUACAGAAGCUUUGCAGUUUUAUGAGGUCCCAUUUGUCGAUUCUUGAUCUUAGAGUACAAGCCAUUGGUGUUCUGUCCAGGAACUUUUCCCCUGUGCCCAUGUGUUCGAGGCUUUCUCCCACUUGUUCCGCUAUAAGUUUAAGUGUAUCUGGUUUUAUGUGGAGGUACAUGAUCCACUUGGAUUUGAGAUUUGUACAAGGAGAUAAGAAUGGGUCGAUUUGCUUUUGUCUACAUGCUGACUCCAGUUGAACCAGCACCAUUUAUUUAAAAUGCUGUAUAUUUUUCCACUGGAUGAUUUUAGCUCCUUUGUCAAAGAUCAAGUGACCAUAGGUGUGUGGGUUCAUUUCUGAGUCUUCAAUUCUAUGCCAUUGCUCUUCCUGACUGUCCCAGCACCAAUACCAUACAGUUUUUUGUUUGUUUUUUUAAUCACUAUUGCUCUGUAAUACAGCUUGAGGUCAGGGAUGGUGAUUCCCCCAGAAGUUCUUUUAUUGUUGAGAAUAGUUUUCUCUACCCUGGGUUUUUUGUUAUUCCAAAUGAGUUUGAGAAUUGUACUUUCUAACUCUGCAAAGAAUUGAGUUGGAAUUUUGAUGGGGAUUGCAUUGAAUCUGUAGAUUGCUUUUAGCAAGAUGGCCAUUUUUACUAUAUUAAUCCUGCCAGUCCAUUAACAUGAGAGAUCUUUCCAUCUUCUUCAUUAAUUUUUCCAUCAUUUUGAAUAGCUUAGACCUAGGUUUUUGUUGUUGUUGUUGUUUCUAUGAUUGACAUUUCUAGAAACAACUUUAUUGGGAUAUAAUACAUAUACAGUUUAAUGUUGUGACUCUACUAACACUCUGCAAUUACAGUUAUAAUUUUGAAGAUAUAGGAAAAUAGAUGAUUUUUGUAAUACUGGAAGUACUACACUGACUUUAACCUCUUAAGUGAGAUAAAAUUGUAUAAUACAGCCUUGAGUAGCUCAAUGGUAGAGAGCUUACCUAACAUGUGCAAAGCCCUGGGUUUGAUGCCCCUCCCCACAUCACAACCAAAACAAUAUAAUUGUAGUAUUCAGGAGGUAGAGGGAGGAGGAUCAGGAGUUCAAGGUCAUCAUGGGUUCAAGACUAGUCUGUGCACAUGAGAUUCUGUCUC
rnacentral:lncRNA from 1 species